AGUUAGCUCGGCUUUCGGUUAAGACCAUGUACGGACAAUCGCUCACGGCCGCAGCAAAUUAAGUUCUUUUAUUGUAGCGCCAGUGCUCCAUCGGAGACCAGCAUUCUUCAUUCGAUUCGAGCAUAUAUAUAUAUGAACGCCAGAUACGUACGUACGCACAGUACUGAUGCGUCUCAAGAUCUCUACACGGCGGCUAGCGGUUGUUUAGUUUCGCGGCCGGGAUCACAUUCUGCUGGAUCUAGUGCUCUACCGCCCGCGCGUAAACCAACUGUGUGUACGUCCUGUCCUCGGGCUGCCACCACAAGAAACAAAGAUGCUGAUGCUUCAAACUUGUCAUCCCUCCACUCGUUGGAAAUGCCUGAGGAGGAUCGACGAUGGAUUCGUUGUUGGCCCCAGUCGUUGUUUGCGAGACGAGAUCGGGCAGUGAAGCGCGACGCAAGUCGGCCACACAUUUACGCCGGUGCCGCGCGGGGGUGGUUGCCUGUCGGGCCGCUGCCGGUGCGCGCCGCGCCGGCCUCGCCUCUCGAUCUCACACGCUCGGUUUUAAAUGUGCUUCGCGAGCGAGUUCAGCUGGAUCAAACGCUCAGGGCGUCUCCUGCGUGUAUUUCAAAUGCAAGAGAGAGCAUAAAAAAGCGCGUGACGGCGACCCGGCGCGUGAGCCAGGCCGUGGCCGGCGAAGCGGACGGGAAGGCGCGGACCGGAUGCGGUCGGAGCCUCGGGGAAGGGGACCAUGCAUGCACACCUGGCCAGGCUCACGAGACAAGUCUCUUUUGGGGUUCCGGUAGAAAAAAGAAGCAGGGGAAAACCGGAAAAGGCCUUGCGGAUUCAGCGACACGGUACGCGGAGCUGGAGGAACCAGAGAGACACAUGGGAGCAUGGAGCCACCCCGGCCUGGGCCCUGGGGGUAAAAGAAAAAAGGAAGGGAAAUUUUGAUCUCGUGAAAGCGAAGUGGUCGCGGCGCUGUCUUUGUCCAGCCUUUUGGACGCACUGAGAUUAUUUAUGGGCGUAUGUUAUUGAUCGAAGAAGGGGAUUUUAAUAAAAUGGAUGGCUCUUCUCCGUGGUUUACAAGCCUACAGGAAUGCUCUGGAAGUCUAGGAACAUCUUAUCGAGACAUUCAUGACCUGAAGACCACGGGCCAACCGGGGUUUUGAUUA